CGAUGAUCCGGAGCUUGCUCCUCGUGAUUAGUGGCGAACGGGUGAGUAACACGUGAGUAACCUGCCCCUGACUCUGGGAUAAGCGUUGGAAACGACGUCUAAUACUGGAUACGAUCACCGGCCGCAUGGUCUGGUGGUGGAAAGAUUUUUUGGUUGGGGAUGGACUCGCGGCCUAUCAGCUUGUUGGUGAGGUAAUGGCUCACCAAGGCGACGACGGGUAGCCGGCCUGAGAGGGUGACCGGCCACACUGGGACUGAGACACGGCCCAGACUCCUACGGGAGGCAGCAGUGGGGAAUAUUGCACAAUGGGCGAAAGCCUGAUGCAGCAACGCCGCGUGAGGGAUGACGGCCUUCGGGUUGUAAACCUCUUUUAGUAGGGAAGAAGCGAAAGUGACGGUACCUGCAGAAAAAGCACCGGCUAACUACGUGCCAGCAGCCGCGGUAAUACGUAGGGUGCAAGCGUUGUCCGGAAUUAUUGGGCGUAAAGAGCUCGUAGGCGGUUUGUCGCGUCUGCUGUGAAAUCCCGAGGCUCAACCUCGGGCUUGCAGUGGGUACGGGCAGACUAGAGUGCGGUAGGGGAGAUUGGAAUUCCUGGUGUAGCGGUGGAAUGCGCAGAUAUCAGGAGGAACACCGAUGGCGAAGGCAGAUCUCUGGGCCGUAACUGACGCUGAGGAGCGAAAGCAUGGGGAGCGAACAGGAUUAGAUACCCUGGUAGUCCAUGCCGUAAACGUUGGGCGCUAGAUGUAGGGACCUUUCCACGGUUUCUGUGUCGUAGCUAACGCAUUAAGCGCCCCGCCUGGGGAGUACGGCCGCAAGGCUAAAACUCAAAGGAAUUGACGGGGGCCCGCACAAGCGGCGGAGCAUGCGGAUUAAUUCGAUGCAACGCGAAGAACCUUACCAAGGCUUGACAUACACCGGAAACGGCCAGAGAUGGUCGCCCCCUUGUGGUCGGUGUACAGGUGGUGCAUGGUUGUCGUCAGCUCGUGUCGUGAGAUGUUGGGUUAAGUCCCGCAACGAGCGCAACCCUCGUUCUAUGUUGCCAGCGGGUUAUGCCGGGGACUCAUAGGAGACUGCCGGGGUCAACUCGGAGGAANGGUGGGGAUGACGUCAAAUCAUCAUGCCCCUUAUGUCUUGGGCUUCACGCAUGCUACAAUGGCCGGUACAAAGGGCUGCGAUACCGUAAGGUGGAGCGAAUCCCAAAAAGCCGGUCUCAGUUCGGAUUGAGGUCUGCAACUCGACCUCAUGAAGUCGGAGUCGCUAGUAAUCGCAGAUCAGCAACGCUGCGGUGAAUACGUUCCCGGGCCUUGUACACACCGCCCGUCAAGUCAUGAAAGUCGGUAACACUACGAAGCCGGUGGCCUAA
rnacentral:rRNA from 1 species